AUGGGCUCCAGGCUGCUCUGUUGGGUGCUGCUUUGUCUCCUGGGAGCAGGCCCAGUAAAGGCUGGAGUCACUCAAACUCCAAGAUAUCUGAUCAAAACGAGAGGACAGCAAGUGACACUGAGCUGCUCCCCUAUCUCUGGGCAUAGGAGUGUAUCCUGGUACCAACAGACCCCAGGACAGGGCCUUCAGUUCCUCUUUGAAUACUUCAGUGAGACACAGAGAAACAAAGGAAACUUCCCUGGUCGAUUCUCAGGGCGCCAGUUCUCUAACUCUCGCUCUGAGAUGAAUGUGAGCACCUUGGAGCUGGGGGACUCGGCCCUUUAUCUUUGCGCCAGCAGCUUGG